UACGUAGGGGGCUAGCGUUGUCCGGAAUCAUUGGGCGUAAAGCGCGUGUAGGCGGCCCGGUAAGUCCGCUGUGAAAGUCCAGGGCUCAACCCUGGGAUGCCGGUGGAUACUGUCGGGCUCGAGUCCGGGAGAGGUGAGUGGAACUGCGAGUGUAGAGGUGAAAUUCGUAGAUAUUCGCAAGAACACCAGUGGCGAAGGCGGCUCACUGGCCCGGUACUGACGCUGAGGUGCGAAAGCGUGGGGAGCAAACAGG
rnacentral:rRNA from 1 species